CCUGCUUUCUGACUGCAGGGAAGUGGGGGACACUGCUGGGCAGGAGCACAAGGCUGGCCCCAGGCUGGAGGCAAGGUGGCUGCAGCCAGUCUGGCCUCACAACUGUGAGUAAUAACAGCUAGGAAAGAUGCUCCAGGCUCUCUGCUCAUGGUGCCCCAUCCUAUCCCAGCCACCACAGAGCCCUUUCUGCUCAGGGUCCCUAGUGGUUCCCAGUGACACUCCCUGAAGAGUGAUGCCUUCUACAUCCUCAAACAAGAACAUCUGUUAGGCCAAUGUGCUGGUAAAACAAAGUCCUUUUUAAUUCUAACAACAUCGACAUGCAGUUGGAUUGAUUCGAUGGUCGUAACCGUUUGGAAUGAGGCGUGAGACAAAAUUGUAUGGAUUUGAAAGAGAAUUCAAACGAAUGUAGGAAACCGAAAUGUUAUGACCCACUAAGAAGCAGUAGAAUAAACUGGAA